AACGCUAGCUACAGGCUUAACACAUGCAAGUCGAGGGGCAGCACAGUGUAGCAAUACACGGGUGGCGACCGGCGCACGGGUGCGUAACGCGUAUCCAACCUUCCCGAUACUCAGGGAUAGCCUUCCGAAAGGGAGAUUAAUACCUGAUGGUGUUCAAAUUCCGCAUGUUAUUUGAACUAAAGAUUUAUCGGUAUCGGAUGGGGAUGCGUGACAUUAGAUAGUAGGCGGGGUAACGGCCCACCUAGUCUACGAUGUCUAGGGGUUCUGAGAGGAAGGUCCCCCACACUGGAACUGAGACACGGUCCAGACUCCUACGGGAGGCAGCAGUGAGGAAUAUUGGUCAAUGGUCGGAAGACUGAACCAGCCAAGUAGCGUGAAGGAUGAAGGUUCUAUGGAUUGUAAACUUCUUUUAUACGGGAAUAAAACCACCUACGUGUAGGUGCUUGUAUGUACCGUAUGAAUAAGCAUCGGCUAACUCCGUGCCAGCAGCCGCGGUAAUACGGAGGAUGCGAGCGUUAUCCGGAUUUAUUGGGUUUAAAGGGAGCGUAGACGGGAUGUUAAGUCAGUUGUGAAAGGCUGCGGCUCAACCGCAGCACUGCAGUUGAUACUGGCGUCCUUGAGUGCGGUUGAGGUGUAUGGAAUUCGUGGUGUAGCGGUGAAAUGCUUAGAUAUCACGAAGAACUCCGAUUG
rnacentral:rRNA from 1 species